ACCGGCAGAACCUUUCCUGCAGUCAAUGACCAAAAGUGCCCUCUUUGGCCUCAUGGGGAUACCCCGGGCGGCGGGCAAGCAAGCGAGCUCAGCAGAUGUACGGUAGUGCAUACACCACUUUCCCUUUCUGAAAAGGAUACUGAAAACGGAAAAUAACGUUACCCUCGGGUUACCCGGUCCACGCUGCGGAGAAUCACCUUUGGCAGUUUCUGCUUUCCCUCCAAACGAAGGUGGAGAAGUAGAGGGGGACAAGUCGCGUACAUCCGGCUCCAAUCAACCCAAGGAUGGAUCCCACCACUUGGUACUGCCAAGGUCAUGGCAUUUGAUUUCAAGCUGCCCGUCAGUUUCUUGGCUGUCUGAAAACAACAAGUAGAAAAGGUGAGCUUCUGGUCUGCUUCCUUUACUUCACAGCUCAGUUUUAAAUUACAUUUGUGAGCAGUGAUUGAGAAAC
rnacentral:lncRNA from 1 species